rnacentral:lncRNA from 1 species
GCAAAGUCAACACACAGUGGUCUCAUGGGGAAGGGUAUGUGGUCACUUAGAAAAACCCCAGGUCUUUCUUCUUUGGUAGAAGCUGUCCAAAAUUUCAUGCAGGAUUCAAAACCGCAUUCAUGGAAAUCCCAAGAAGCGAACAUAGAAUCGACUUCAUGAAAAGCAUGUGCGCUAGUUUAAACUACAGACUUUCCUGUCAAAUACACAAUUCUGGACCAAGAUUCUCAAUUGCAAAUAACCAGACCUUUCCUCUCACUUUUACAGGUGGCCUCUUACCUGUCCCACAUGCGACUACCAUCCUCUUCCAGUCAUGAUCUGCUAAACGACAGGAUGAUGGUCCAGUUCAACCGAUGGAGCCAAACCCGAGUAUAUCGGGUCACAAGUGACAUGAGGAGGGAUGCGAAGCAAGAGAGGCUGGACAAAGUGAGGAACAGGUGGGCAACCAGGAGAAGCUUCUUGGACAAGAAGAGGCAAUUGCCAAAAACAACGUUUUUGUUGCUUGCACGUGAGACAUUGUUUUCCUCCUGCACUGUGAGAAGAACAACAAAACACUCUCCACAGUCCUUUUAAAUGCCAUCUUUCAAAACGAGCCCAAAUUCUAUAGAUGUUUGCUUGUUUGUAUAGGGUUUGUGUAACUUGCCAUGGCUAAUUGUGGCUAACUGAAGCAGUAUUGAGGUGCAUCUCAAUUGCAUAGUAAGGCACACAAGCUGGCAAGCAAGUGAACUUUUACUCCAGCACCUGGUCAAUUAACCACAAUUAAUGGCAGCACAUUGCAGAACCCUUUCAUGAAUUCUAAUGCCAGUAACCUGUUUGUUUGCUUACAUUUGCAGAUUGUUACACUUGUUUCUGCCCCAGGGUGUAUAGCAAACAGCUUCUGGAACUUGGGGAAAGUUUCAGAAGCAACUUCCCAUAUGCCAUUGGCCAUUGCUGGCAGAGUGGGAAAACAGUCUACCAUUAAAGUUGAGGGAAAACCUAGAGUGGAUUGCUAUAUGUUAAUCUGAACUUUAGAAUUAUGCAAGG